rnacentral:rRNA from 1 species
AGUGAACGCUGGCGGCGUGCUUAGCACAUGCAAGUCGAACGAGAACGGAUUAUAGCUUGCUAUAAUUGUCAGCUAAGUGGCGCACGGGUGAGUAAUGUAUAGGUAAUAUGCCUCUUACUAAGGGAUAACAAAUGGAAACGUUUGCUAAUACCUUAUACUCCUUAUUAACAGAAGUUAAUAAGGGAAAGAUUUAUUGGUAAGAGAUUAGCCUGUAUUGUAUCAGUUAGUUGGUGGGGUAAUGGCUUACCAAGACUAUGACACAUAACUGGUUUGAGAGGAUGAUCAGUCACACUGGAACUGAGACACGGUCCAGACUCCUACGGGAGGCAGCAGUGGGGAAUAUUGCACAAUGGACGAAGGUCUGAUGCAGCAACGCCGCGUGGAGGAUGACACAUUUCGGUGCGUAAACUCCUUUUAUAUGAGAAGAUAAUGACGGUAUUAUAUGAAUAAGCACCGGCUAACUCCGUGCCAGCAGCCGCGGUAA